rnacentral:lncRNA from 1 species
GAAGAUCUGCUGGAGAAGAGAAUGGCAAACCACUCCAGUAUUUUUACCUGGAAAAUUCCAUGGACACAGGAGCCUGGUGGGGAAAGGUAAUUGGAAAGUCAAGGGUGGUUUGGCCAUAAAAAUCCACGGUGAAAUUCCAGCUCACUGCAAUUGUGAUACCAGCGCAGCUGAGGAAGAGCAACAGGGCAGACGCCUUGUAGCACAGUCGGAGGAAAUCAGGGUACGGGGCCUUGUUCCUGCUGACGAAUAGCGCCACUGUGCUAAAAAUCAGGGCCCCCGACAUCAUAAAAUUCGCCAGCAGCAUCAGGCCCUGCCCAUACGAGAUUUCGUCAGAAAUGACCCAGCUCGAGUUGAUCAUGGUGUACAUCGGUAACUCAACCAUUAUACCAGAUACGUUAAAUUUUUGCCGGUAGAAAGCUUCCCAGAGUCCAAUGAACACGACGGAAACGAUGUCGGUGUCAAACUCCCACACGCGCCAGGAUCUGCUGUGGGCCAGGAUUAAGCCGAGCACCCAGACCAGAUAAUUAAGUAAAACGCGAAUCGAUUUUAAGCAGUAAAUCAUUUUGGGUCGUCUGAAAACACACAGGUAGCCAGAGACGCUAGAACGACACCGCCCGGUUGCUGCCUGUCCGGCUUGGAUGGCUUACUGAAAGAUGGAUAGGACUCCGCACCUGUUGUUAAGGAAGGAGGAAAAUUGGGAGAGGAAGACUUUUUUUUUAUCCUGCCACCUAUGUGAAAUAAAAGAUAGUUCCACUAUUUGCAAUCUGAACAUGUGGACUACAAUCCAUAUCCACGUG